CGCAACUGGAGCGGACAGGACGGCUUUCGGGAUUUGGCGCGGUCUUUGGUUGCAACCGCAGCUCCAGGUCUUGUCUUCUUUGUUCUGUGUUUUCUGGUCCUACAGGCCUAACCUCUGUGUCCCUGUAACCUGUAGGUAUUGGGAGAUCCACAGCUUAAGAUGCCAGGACCCCCCAGGAAGCCUAGAAAUGAUUCUGCCUGCAGAGAAGAUUGUGACAUAUUGCUGGUUGCAGCACCACGGUGAUAUUACUCUUUUGCCUUGGCACUGCCCCCAGAAGGCAUUGUGAUAUGUUGGUGGUCCCAGCUUCAAGGGAAUGCCCUGAUAGAAAGAACAUGGACAGCGUGAGUCUGUUGGAGACUACCCCAUGGACAAGCAGAAUAAACUACAAUGGGUUUGAUGACAAAUGAUGUUGGGCCAGCCUGUUCCAAAAGCAAGCCAAGACGCAGUAGAAACCAAUACGGCCUUUCUGUGGGGGAGGCAUGAGUGUACUCCUUCUACCACAGGGACUCCCCAACACUGGCAGUGUCCAUGCCUUAUUCCACCACAGCAACAACAGAAAAUGCUUUGACAGCUGCUUUGGGUCAGAGGUAGCAGCACGGGGAGCUGAUGAUUCCAGGUCUAUGGUCACAGGCCCUGGAUUCUGAAUGUGCACCUGCAUGUGGGCCCCAAACUUGCCUGUAUAUCUUAUGCAGCUGCUCCAGGAAGCCAUUGUACAAGCCUUCUGCCUGCUCUGUGGGCAUUGCCAGGCUGAUCUCGAACUCCCAUCUUAGAGUGAUGGGAUAGGCCUCCCUGCCUCGGCCUCCCAAAGUGCUGGGAUUACAGGCGUGAGCCACCACGCCCGGCCAACCAAAGUGAUUUAACUCUCCUGUCUUGCCUGGGAUAUAUCGCUGGGUUCAACGUUCAGGUAAUGCGACUUUCGUGCAAGGACCCUGUCCACAGAGGCAUUGUGACAGAUUGGUAAGUCUAUCACCCAGGGGAUGUAACUCUCUUCUUUGAGACCUGCCUACAGGGGGCAUUGUGACUUAUCUCUAUGCCUAUCACUCAGGUGAUGUGAUUCUCUUUUAUUGCCUUGUUUUUGCUCAGAAGAGAUUUGGAACUAUUACUGGCCCAGCACCCCUUUGAUGUGACUCUUCCAUUUUUCCUAUAUUCUGCCCACAGAAUAGAUGUGACAUAUGGUGGGACCCAGUAUCUACAUGAUGUAACUCCUCUUCUGCCUGGGCCUUGCCCUCAGGAGAUAUUACAGUAUAUUACUGGACCCAGCAACUAAGUGAUUUGACUGUCCUGUUUUGCCCUGCUUUCUGGGAGGAUUGUGACAUAAUUACCUGGUCCAGUACCUAGGUGAUGUGACUCUUCUCCUGCCUGGGCCUAGUCCACAAGGGACAUUGUGACAUAUUGCUGGACCUAGCAUCCAAGUAAUUGUGACUUUCCUGCCUGGUUGUGACGUAUUGCUGAACCCAGCACCCAGGUGAUGUGGCUCUUCUGCCUGGGUUUUAUUCUUAGGGGUUUGUGACAUAUCUCUGCGUUCAUCAAGUAUUUGAUGAGAACUCUCCUCUCUGAUGUGGGCUUUGCCCAAAAGAAAGAUAGUAAAAUAUCUCUUGACCUUCCACCUAAGUGGUGUGUCUCUCCUCUAUUGCUAGUGCUCUGCUCAGAGUGAAAUUGUGAUGUAUUGCUGAGUCUAGCAGCUAGGUAAUAAGAUUCUUCUAUAUGGGCCCUGCCCAAAGGGGUGUUAUGACAUAUCCUUUUAUUUAUCACCUAGGCAAAGUGACUGUCUUUAUUUGCCUGGACCCUAACCAAAAAGAGAAUUGUGACAUAGCACUGGAUCCAGCACCUUGGUGCUUUUUUUUUUUGCCUGGAGCCUGCAUAUUUUGGGUAUUGUGACGUACUGCUGAGCUCAACACCCAAGGGAUGAGAGACUUUUCUGGGCCCUGUCUACAGUAGCCCUUGUGACAUAUGUCUGCAUCUUUCACUUUGGGGCUGUGAUUUCCCUCUUUUUCUUGCACCCUGCCCAAAUGGAAAAUUGCAAUAUAUCACAGAGCCCAGCAAACCAGGUGAUGUGUCUCUUCUCAUUUGGCCUUGCCCACAGGGAGCACUGGAAUAUAUUGCUGGGCCCAGUGCCCAGGGGAUUUGACUCUUUUGCCAGUUCCCUGCUCUCAGAAGGGUAUCGUAACAUAUCUUUGGCCAGGCACCUGGGUGAUGGGACUCUCCAGCUGGGUCCAUGCUUUCAUGGAAGAUUGUGACAUAUCCCUGGCAGAGAGGCAGUCGAUGUGGCUCUCUGCUUGCUCCAUGCUCACGGAUGGGAUUGUGAAACACAUCUUAGCCCAGCUCACAUAUGCAAUGAGGACUGUCGUAUCUUGAGCCAGCCAAUAAGAGUGAUACCAUGUAUGUUAGGUAACCUUAAGGAAAUGGGUAAGAUUCUGGGUCUUCUCUCUAUACUAAGGUCAUAGAGGAUUACCACUCUUUUGCAUGUUGUAUAAAACCUUCAUUUGGUUCGGAGAAUGUUAUCACAGAGCCCAGCAAAAAUAUGAGACUGUGGUUUUUGUAUGCACUCUCCACCAAGUGCUAGGAUUGUCACCCUUUAAACAUGGAAAGAACCCACUGGUGAGGUCCUUAAUCUCACACCUGGGCACAGUCCAUAGUUGGAAUAGUGAUGUCAUAUGUAAUCAUCUGGCUAAAGUUGGGAUGGUGACUCAUUUCUAGAUCAUAGGGGCAGGCAAGGCCUCUCAUAUCUGGACCCAACCAUUUGGAGAGAUGUUGACUGUCAUACUUGGGCUUAGUGCUACAGGUUCAAACAUGGGUCUAUACCAGCAAGAAGGUCUCAGUGGAUUUCCAACUCUCAUGCAUACCAUAUAAAACCCUCAGAUAAUACAGAUGGUGUCUUAACAUGGCCCCACACAGAGGCAACAUUGUGACACUUGUAUGCACACCCAGCCAACAGUAAAGAUUGUUAUCCUCACACAUGAAUGCAGCCCCCUGUUGAGGUUUGGAAUCUGACACCCAGAAAGAGUCAGAAGUUGGAAAAUUGACUCUCGUGCAUGGAUUUUAUCCAUAGGUGGGUUGGUGUCCCAGAGACCAACAUUCAGCACACUUGUGAGCCUGUGAGUCCACUAAAACAGUCUGCACAAAAAAAUUGAGGCACUAAUUUACAGAAGCAGUUCACCACUGAAACUGUGACUCCUGUACUUAGUCUCAACAUACAGGUGGUGUUUACUCUCAUAUUGAAAACUGGGAUGUGUCUGGGAGUGUUAAUCUCAUCUGUGGACCUUUGUGCAGAUGCAACUGUGACAUAUGCCUCUGCCCAUCACCUGAUUUGACUCUUCUGCCUGGGACCAGACAACAGAUGGGACUGUGACAUCACUGGACCUAGCAUUUAAGUAAUGUGACUCCAUUUGUCUGCCUUGGUGCUGCCGAUAGGGGGCUUUGUGACAUGUUGCUGGGACUUGCACCCAGGUGAUGUGAGCCUACUCCCCUGCUUUGGGGCUGCCCCCAAAACACACUGUAACAUAUCACUAAUCUCUGCACCCAGGUUCUGUGACUCUCCUGUCUGUGCCCUGCCCACAUGGAUUAUUGUGACAUAUUGCUGGGUCCAACACCUAGGUGAUGUAACCCUCCUGCUUGAGUCCUGCCUUAAGUCCAGGGGGCAUUGUGAAAUAUCUCUGCACUCAUCAUUCUGGUUCUGCCUGUAGAAAAGAUUGUAACAUAAUGCUGGGCCCAACUUCAAGGUGGCAUUACUUUUUUGACUUGGCCUUGCUCUCAGAAGACAUUAUAACAUACUGCUGGGCCCAGAACCAAGGUUAUGUUAAGUCUUCCUACUAAAACCUACCCACAGAAGACAUCGUGACAUAUCUCUGGGCCCAUCAACUAUUUGAUGUGACUGUACUCUUAUCUGAGUUUUUUUAAUAAAAGAGAUUUUGACAUAUCUUUGGGCCCAGCACCUAGGUGAUUUGACUCUUCUCCUGCCUGAGCCAUGACCAGAGAUGGAGAGUGACUUAUUGCCUGAACCAGCACACAAAUGUAAUUAUUCUGAUUUCUUCCCAAAGAAGUAAUUAUGACAUAUUUUUGAGCCCAUCACCUAAAUGAUACAAUUUUUUUUUUCCUGACCCUUGCCCAUGGAGGUGAUUGUGAAAUACAGCUGGGCUGAGCCCUUAGGUUAUGUGACUCUCCUCUUUUUUUCUGAGCCCUAUCCACAAUGGGCAUUGUGACAUAUCUCUGGGCCCGUCACCUAGGUGAUGUGACUCUAUUUCCUGGGCCUUCACUCAGGGAAUAUUAUGAUAUAUGCCUAUAUCUAGCACCUAGGUAAUAUGACUCUCCUAUUCUGCAUGGGCCGUGCAUAUAUUGUGUACUGUGAUGUAUUUCUGGGUCCAGCACCUAGGUGAUUUUGCCCUCCAGCACAGCCCCAUUUGCCCUCAGGGUUAUAAUAUAUCUUUCUAUUCAUCACCUACAUGAUGUGACUCUUUGCUUUUGUCCUGCCAAAAGGGGUUGUGACAUUUCACUGAACCCAGCACCUAGGUGAUGUGACUCUCCUCUUAUGAUUGGGACUUAGAAUUUUUGGUAGUGUGACGUACUGCUGAGCUUAACACCUAGGCAGUUGGAGGCUCUUGCCUGGGCCUGGCUCACAGUUGCCCUGUGACAUAAUUUUGCAUCAAUCAUCUGGGAGAUGUGACUCUUCUUUUCUACCUUCACUCUGCCCAAAAGGAAGAUUGUCACAUAUCACUGGGCUCAGCAACCAGGUAUGUGUCACUCCUGCUUGUGACUUGCCAACAGAGAGCAUUGUGACAUACUCCUGAGCCAAUCACACUGGUGAUGGGACUCUGCUUCAUGUGAUGGGACUCUGCUUCAUGUGAUGGGACUCUGCUUCAUGUGACUUGCUUUCAGGAGGAAAUUGUAACAUAUCCCUGGUUGAGCACCCAGGUAAUGUGACCCCUCCUGCCUCACCCCUGCCCUCUGGAAAGAUUGUGACAUAUCCCUGGCCUAUCACUGAGGUGAUGUGACUCUUCUGUUGGCUCUCCGUGGACAGUUGGGAUUUUGAAUAUACCUUGGCAAACUUGAUAGGUGUGAUGAGGACUCUCAUACCUCAAACCGGCAAAUAGAGGAGAUACUGUCUUUCAUAAGUAGGCUUUAAAAACUGGGUAGCAUUCUGAAUCUCUUCUUCACACAAAGGUCAUAGAGGAUUACCACUGUCUUGCAUAUAAUAGAAAGCCCUCCGGUAGUCCACACAGUGUCAUCAAAAGGUGCAAAGCACAGAUGAAAUUGUGCUUCUCACAUGCACAGCAACCCCUGGGAUUCUCACCCUAACACAUUGAUGAAACCCACUGGAGAGGUCCCAAAUCUAAAAUAUAGAUGCAGUCCAGAGUUGGAAAUGUGAGUGUCACAUGUGAACAUCCAGCCACAAGACAGUAACAAUUUUAACUGAAGACUGCAUUGGGAUGGUGACUCAUUUCUUCCUUUUCUCUUUUCUUUUGAGACAGAGUCUCGCAAUUCCCCUGCCUCAGCCUCCAAAGUAGCUAGGAUUACAGGCACGUGCC